rnacentral:rRNA from 1 species
UGCAGUCGUACGAGAAAGUUGGCUUCGGCCAAUGAGUAAAGUGGCGCACGGGUGAGUAACGCGUGGAUAAUCUACCUCCCAGCGGGGAAUAACCCAUCGAAAGGUGGGCUAAUACCUCAUAACACUAUCUUUACCUCGGUGGGAUAGUCAAAGACGGCCUCUGCUUGCAAGCUGUCACUGGAAGAUGAGUCCGCGUACCAUUAGCUAGUUGGUAGGGUAACGGCCUACCAAGGCUGCGAUGGUUAGCUGGUCUGAGAGGAUGAUCAGCCACACUGGAACUAAGACACGGUCCAGACUCCUACGGGAGGCAGCAGUGAGGAAUCUUGCGCAAUGGGGGCAACCCUGACGCAGCAACGCCGCGUGAGUGAGGAAGGUCUUCGGAUCGUAAAGCUCUGUCGGGUGGGAAGAAACGUAUGGAAGCUAAUACCCUUCAUACUUGACGGUACCACCAAAGGAAGCACCGGCUAACUCCGUGCCAGCAGCCGCGGUAAUACGGGGGGUGCAAGCGUUGUUCGGAAUCAUUGGGCGUAAAGGGCGUGUAGGCGGCUUGGUAAGUCAGAUGUGAAAGCCCUGGGCUUAACCCAGGAAGUGCAUUUGAAACUGUCAGGCUUGAGUAGGG